rnacentral:ncRNA from 2 species
CUCUUAUCGAGAGUGACGGAGGGGUCUGGCCCUGUGAAGUCCGGCAACCAGUACAAUUAUGUACAAUGGUGCUAAAUCCAGCGGUAUUACACCGGCAGAUGAGAA